rnacentral:rRNA from 1 species
AUUGAACGCUGGCGGCAUGCUUUACACAUGCAAGUCGAACGGUAACAGGCCGCAAGGUGCUGACGAGUGGCGAACGGGUGAGUAAUGCAUCGGAACGUGCCCAGUCGUGGGGGAUAACGCAGCGAAAGCUGCGCUAAUACCGCAUACGAUCUAUGGAUGAAAGCGGGGGACCGUAAGGCCUCGCGCGAUUGGAGCGGCCGAUGUCAGAUUAGGUAGUUGGUGGGGUAAAGGCUCACCAAGCCAACGAUCUGUAGCUGGUCUGAGAGGGCGACCGGCCACACUGGGACUGGGACACGGACCAGAGUCCGACGGGAGGCAGAAGUGGGGAAUUUUGGACAAUGGCGCAAGCCUGAUCCAGCAAUGCCGCGUGCAGGAAGAAGGCCUUCGGGUUGUAAACUGCUUUUGUACGGAACGAAACGGCUCUCACUAAUACUGGGGGCUAAUGACGGUACCGUAAGAAUAAGCACCGGCUAACUACGUGCCAGCCGCCGCAGUAACAC